AGCAAAGUCAGCUAAGUAAGCUAGUGGGCCCAUACCCCAAACAUGAGGGUUCAAUCCCCUCUUUUGUUA
rnacentral:tRNA from 1 species